AGCAGCCGCGGUAAUUCCAGCUCCAAUAGCGUAUAUUAAAGUUGUUGCAGUUAAAAAGCUCGUAGUUGAAUUUUGGGGUCAGUAGGUUGGUCAUGCCUCCGGUAUGCACUGGUCUCACUGAUUCCUCCUUCCUGAUGAGCCGUAAUGCCAUUAAUUUGGUGUUGCGGGGAAUCUGGACUGUUACUUUGAAAAAUUAGUGUUUAAAGCAAGCUAACGCUUGAAUACAUUAGCAUGGAAUAAUGGAAUAGGACGUUCGAUCCUAUUUUGUUGGUUUCUAGGAUUGACGUAAUGAUUAAUAGGGAUAGUUGGGGGCAUUAGUAUUCAAUUGUCAGAGGUGAAAUUCUUGGAUUUAUUGAAGACUAACUACUGUGAAAGCAUUUGCCAAGGAUGUUUUCAUUAAUCAAGAACGAAAGUUAGGGGAUCGAAGACGAUCAGAUACCGUCGUAGUCU
rnacentral:rRNA from 1 species